GACGAACGCUGGCGGCGUGCUUAACACAUGCCAGUCGAACGGAAAGGCCCUGCUUUUGUGGGGUGCUCGAGUGGCGAACGGGUGAGUAACACGUGAGUAACCUGCCCUUGACUUUGGGAUAACUUCAGGAAACUGGGGCUAAUACCGGAUAGGAGCUCCUGCUGCAUGGUGGGGGUUGGAAAGUUUCGGCGGUUGGGGAUGGACUCGCGGCUUAUCAGCUUGUUGGUGGGGUAGUGGCUUACCAAGGCUUUGACGGGUAGCCGGCCUGAGUGGGUGACCGGCCACAUUGGGACUGAGAUACGGCCCAGACUCCUACGGGAGGCAGCAGUGGGGAAUAUUGCACAAUGGGCGGAAGCCUGAUGCAGCAACGCCGCGUGCGGGAUGACGGCCUUCGGGUUGUAAACCGCUUUCGCCUGUGACGAAGCGUGAGUGACGGUAAUGGGUAAAGAAGCACCGGCUAACUACGUG
rnacentral:rRNA from 1 species